UACGAAGGUCCCGAGCGUUGUUCGGAAUCACUGGGCGUAAAGGGAGCGUAGGCGGCGCGGUAAGUCAGAUGUGAAAUCCCGGGCUCAACCCCGGAACUGCAUCCGAUACUGCCGUGCUAGAGGAUUGGAGAGGUAGCUGGAAGUUCUUGGUGUAGCAGUGAAAUGCGUGGAGAUCAAGAGGAACACUCGUGGCGAAAGCGAGCUACUGGACAAUAUCUGACGCUGAGGCUCGAAGGCCAGGGUA
rnacentral:rRNA from 1 species